rnacentral:rRNA from 1 species
CGAAGGUGUCGAACGUUGUCCGGAAUAACUGGGCGUAAAGGGCGCGUAGGCGGUCGGGUAAGUGAGAUGUGAAAGCUCUGGGCUCAACCCAGGAAUUGCAUUUCAUACUGCUCGACUUGAGUUCGGUAGAGGAGGGCGGAAUUCCAGGUGUAGCGGCGAAAUGCGUAGAUAUCUGGAGGAACACCCGUGGCGAAGGCGGCUCUCUGGUCCGAUACUGACGCUGAGGCGCGAAAGCUAGGGUAGCAAACAGGAUUAGAUACCCUGGUAGUCCUAGCUGUAAACGGUGAGUACUAGGUGUUGGAGGUAUUGACCCCUUCAGUGCCGAAGCUAACGCAUUAAGUACUCCGCCUGGGAACUACGGCCGCAAGGCUG